rnacentral:sRNA from 1 species
AAUAACUCAAUUAAAUGAUAUGCAUUAAAGUAAUAUAUUCGAUAGACUUAUAAAAUCUCUAAAUGAGUUAUCGACUGUCACGUCAUCGAUACACUGAAGGGAUAUGUUGGAGGAGAUUUUUCAGAUUGUGGUUUGACCUGUAUUUAUUUGAUAUGGAGGUUUAUCUUGCAAAAAAAA